GCUUGCUGGGUAUGAAAGUGGCGCACGGGUGCGUAACGCGUAUGCAACCUACCUCAAUCAGGGGGAUAGCCCGAAGAAAUUCGGAUUAACACCGCAUAAAAACACAGUACAGCAUUGUACAAUGUUCAAAUAUUUAUAGGAUUGAGAUGGGCAUGCGUGUCAUUAGCUAGUUGGCGGGGUAACGGCCCACCAAGGCGACGAUGACUAGGGGAUCUGAGAGGAUGACCCCCCACACUGGUACUGAGACACGGACCAGACUCCUACGGGAGGCAGCAGUAAGGAAUAUUGGUCAAUGGAGGGAACUCUGAACCAGCCAUGCCGCGUGCAGGAAGACAGCCCUCUGGGUCGUAAACUGCUUUUAUUCGGGAAUAAACCUACUUACGUGUAAGUAGCUGAAUGUACCGAAGGAAUAAGGAUCGGCUAACUCCGUGCCAGCAGCCGCGGUAAUACGGAGGAUCCAAGCGUUAUCCGGAUUUAUUGGGUUUAAAGGGUGCGUAGGCGGCUUAUUAAGUCAGGGGUGAAAGACGGUGGCUCAACCAUCGCAGUGCCCUUGAUACUGAUGAGCUUGAAUGAACUAGAGGUAGGCGGAAUGUGACAAGUAGCGGUGAAAUGCAUAGAUAUGUCACAGAACACCGAUUGCGAAGGCAGCUUACUAUGGUUUUAUUGACGCUGAGGCACGAAAGCGUGGGGAUCAAACAGGA
rnacentral:rRNA from 1 species